rnacentral:rRNA from 1 species
UUCUUCGGAGAGUUUGAUCCUGGCUCAGGAUGAACGCUGGCGGCGUGCCUAAUACAUGCAAGUCGAGCGAACUGAUUAGAAGCUUGCUUCUAUGACGUUAGCGGCGGACGGGUGAGUAACACGUGGGCAACCUGCCUGUAAGACUGGGAUAACUUCGGGAAACCGAAGCUAAUACCGGAUAGGAUCUUCUCCUUCAUGGGAGAUGAUUGAAAGAUGGUUUU